rnacentral:lncRNA from 1 species
CAAGCAAUGAUAUGAAAAAUAUAGUUAUCAUGACAAUGAAAGCAAUAUUUCUUUCUCAUAGAUGCAGAAUUAAUCAGGUGAAUCAUUAUGGAUCUUCCUGGGAUGCCUCUGAGUAAAACUAGCUUGGGGGCCUGCCUGUCUGCGAUCACCCGGCGGCGUGCGCGCGAGC